UACAGAGGGGGCAAGCGUUGUUCGGAAUUACUGGGCGUAAAGGGCGCGUAGGUGGCCUGCUAAGUCGAACGUGAAAUCCCCGAGCUCAACUCGGGAACUGCGUCCGAUACUGGUAGGCUUGAAUCCGGGAGAGGGAUGCGGAAUUCCAGGUGUAGCGGUGAAAUGCGUAGAUAUCUGGAGGAACACCGGUGGCGAAGGCGGCAUCCUGGACCGGCAUUGACGCUGAGGCGCGAAAGCUAGGGGAGCAAACAGG
rnacentral:rRNA from 1 species